AUGGGCCCUCUUGUGGUAGACCCACAUGUCAUCGGUGUAACUAUUUACACUCCAAAGGACGGUGCCUAUAUCCUGGUAGUACUAUUAGUAGAAUUGAGAUUUAAUGCACUUUCUUCCCCGUCUUCCACUCUUCUUCCUCCUCUCUUCUUCUUCCUCCUCUCUUCCCCAUUGUCGGCCGCACACCAUUUACCCCCGCUCACUGCUCGCCCGCCCGCGCCAUCUUCCUUGAUUUGGAGUACCACGGAUCAGGAGCUGAUCGAGCACCUUGAGGCCAAAGUGAGUGCUGACAGUGCGAGAUUUCAGUCUCUCAUCGAUUUGUUCAUACCAACCAUCAACAGCGAGCACAUCAUAUGCUACACCCAGCCUGAGAAACUUCCAGGUAUCACACUGAGGGGCCUAAGGAAGCAAUUCUUCCCGCGCAAUUCCAGGGCAUUCAAAAGGGGCACGUGGACGCGUCGCAAGAUACAGUCGGAGUGCGGCAUGCACGCGAUGUGGCACAAGACCGACAAUACCUUGCCAGUGAUGGUCAACGGCCGACAGAUGGGCAGCAAAAAAGGUUCUGGUGCUGCACACCAACAAGAACUUCGACCAGUAGAGGACCAACUGGGUCGAGCAAGUUUCAACCAGGCUGCAGACUGCCCAGGGUUGCUUUUGUUUUUAACAGGCCUAGCCCAUGACGACAAUGGGGCACAAAGAUCCAGCAGGUAG
rnacentral:rRNA from 1 species